GUUGGCUCUGUAAAAAUUACAGUAGAGCUGUUUUUUUAACAUUCUUAUUUAUCAGAAGUAUUUCUUUGGCGAAAAUUAGCAUAAUGAUUUCUGAAGGAUCGUGUGACACUAAAGACUGGAGUAAUGAUGGUGAAAAAUCAGCUUUGAUCAUAGAAAUCAACUGACCCUUCGCAAAAACCCGCCCUCCUUAAAUACUGUUGCUAUGUCCAACAAGCCAUGCUGCUCUCACAAUACACACCUUGUUCUCACACAGCGAAAAACACAUCGUGGACCAAAGAGGAAACUGACGACACACAGACAGACAAGACAGUGAAGGUUACUUCUGCCUUGCGUGUGAAGACUUCAGAAGAUGCCAGACCUCACAAAAAUUUCAGAUGAUGGCAACUAUAGAUGAACAUGCAAAGCUGUUAAAUAAUCCUUAUAUUGUAAUCAUUGCCCUAAAAGGAAGGAUCUUAUCAGCAAAUCUACUUCACAGCACAUCAGUGAAAACAGUUGACCGUUACAGACGGGUGUGUUGGAUCAGGGUCAGAUCUGAAUUCUGAUGGUUUUCUGGGAUGAUAGUUGAAGAUGAUCGCCACAUCAGAUGUUGGUCUGGACAGCUGUACCUACAGUACACCUCAUUGACCUCUGCUUUUGCAUGGAUAGCUGACUACUACCAUGUUCUGUGAAGGUAUUAUUAUAGCAAACCUGAGCACCUGUGACAGUGAAAUAGUUGUAAUAAAUAUAGUCACACAUGCAUAUUGGUAAAUUUAAAGUCACAGACAAUUUUUUUAGUACUAGCAAUAUCUUUAUUUUUAAUUUUUUACUAAUUCUCUCCAGCAAACACAACACAACAGUUACAACAUUUCAAAUUCUGAGGUACACAAAUCCAAUUCUACAAACAAGAGAAAAACUGUAUAAAAGUGCCCAGUUUAGCCCCUUUCACACUGAGAUUCCGGAUAAUACACGGGGAAUGUGUCCCAGCAGUUGUUCCUGGAUUGUUAGAUUUUGGUUCAUUCACACUGCCAGUGAUUGCGUUUACACACAACCCAUAAAGGUCCCGUAAUGACACGAGACAUCAGGAUGUGACGUGUAAUGUACGAGUUGAAAACGCUAGGCCACCAAUAAACGGAAGAAGGAGAAGCAGCAAAGCAGAAGUGUUUUCAAUGCUUUAUAAACACGGCAGCUGAUCAGCUACUAGGGACAUUGUUGUUUAUGUAUAAAGCAUCUUCCACACAGAAAUUCUGGAAAAUACACGGAUAAUGUGUUCCAGGAUUGUUUGAUUGUGGUUCAUUCACACUGCCAGUGAUUUUCCGGAAUCUGUGUGUGCGUUCACACACAACCCAUAAAGAUCCUGUAAAGACACAUGACAUUACGAUGUGACAUGUUUUGUUUCACUUAAACUGGUGAACGAUCUCAGCUUCAGCACAGAUAGUGAGGAGGUAUCUGAUCUCUGCUUCAUUACAGUUUGCACAUAUUUUUUCGUCACGAAUGUUGAUCUGUAUUCAAAAC